UACGAAGGGGGCUAGCGUUGCUCGGAAUCACUGGGCGUAAAGCGCACGUAGGCGGAUUUCUAAGUCAGGGGUGAAAUCCUGGAGCUCAACUCCAGAACUGCCUUUGAUACUGGGAAUCUCGAGUCCGGGAGAGGUGAGUGGAACUGCGAGUGUAGAGGUGAAAUUCGUAGAUAUUAGGAAGAACACCAGUGGCGAAGGCGGCUCACUGGUCCGGUACUGACGCUGAGGUGCGAAAGCGUGGGGAGCAAACAGG
rnacentral:rRNA from 1 species